CCUGGUUGAUCUUGCCAGUAGUCAUAUGCUUGUCUCACAGAUUAAGCCAUGCAAGUGAAAGUACAUAUGUAAGUAAUAUAUUGAAACUGCGAACGGCUCAUUAAAACAGUUAUAAUCUACUUGAUGUUUUUAAUAUAAGGAUAACUACGGAAAAUCUGUAGCUAAUACUUGUGAAAAUACCUUUUGAUAUAUACAUAUGUAUGUAUCAUUAAGGUAUGUAUUUGUUAGAUAUAAGAAUAAAAUAAAUAUAAUUGAAUUAUAACAAAGAAGAAACACAUAAAAUAUGUGUAUUAUCAAUCGAGUAUCUGACCUAUCAGCUUUUGAUGUUAGGGUAUUGACCUAACAUGGCUAUGACGGGUAACGGGGAAUUAGAGUUCGAUUCCGGAGAGGGAGCCUGAGAAAUAGCUACCACAUCUAAGGAAGGCAGCAGGCGCGUAAAUUACCCAAUUCUAAAAAAGAGAGGUAGUGACAAGAAAUAACAAUACAAUAUCGAAAAAUGAUUUUGUAAUUGGAAUGAUAGGAAUUUACAAGGUUCCUAGAGAAACAAUUGGAGGGCAAGUCUGGUGCCAGCAGCCGCGGUAAUUCCAGCUCCAAUAGCAUAUAUUAAAAUUGUUGCAGUUAAAACGUUCGUAGUUGAAUAUUAAAGAAUCCGAUGUUUCAUUUAAACUGGUUUGGGAAAACCAAAUAUAUUAUAUAUUUUGCUUUGUUCAAAAUAAGGUUUUCUAAUAAAUUAUGUUUUUAUCAGAUAUGACAGAAUCUUUUUUAAAAUCUCUUCAAUAUGCUUUUAUUGCUUUUGAGAGGUUUUGUUACUUUGAGUAAAAUUAAGUGUUCAUAACAGACGGGUAGUCAUGAUUGAGUUCAUUGUGUUUGAAUACUACAGCAUGGAAUAACAAAUAUGAAUAAGCUAAUUAUUUUUUUUUUUCAUAAUUUUUUUUGAUAUUCUUAUUAGCUUAGUUACGAUUAAUAGGAGUAGCUUUGGGGGCAUUCGUAUUCAGAUGUCAGAGGUGAAAUUCUAAGAUUUUCUGGAGACGGACUACUGCGAAAGCAUUUGCCUAAUCUAUUUCCAUUAAUCAAGAACGAAAGUUAAGGGAGUGAAGACGAUCAGAUACCGUCGUAAUCUUAACCAUAAACUAUACCGACUAGGUGUUGGAUGAAUAUAAAAAAUAUAUAAAUAUGUAGCAUUUCUUAGGGAAUGUUGAUUUUAUAUUAGAAUUGCUUCCUUCAGUACCUUAUGAGAAAUCAAAGUCUUUGGGUUCUGGGGCGAGUAUUCGCGCAAGCGAGAAAGUUAAAAGAAUUGACGGAAGGGCACCACCAGGCGUGGAGCUUGCGGCUUAAUUUGACUCAACACGGGAAAACUCACUAGUUUAAGACAAGAGUAGGAUUGACAGAUUAAUAGCUCUUUCUUGAUUUCUUGGAUGGUGAUGCAUGGCCGUUUUUAGUUCGUGAAUAUGAUUUGUCUGGUUAAUUCCGAUAACGAACGAGAUCUUAACCUGCUAAUUAGCGGUAAGUACACUAUAUUUUUAUUUGAAAUUGAAUAUAGGUAAUUAUACAUGUUUAUUCAGUGUUCAAAUUAGGAUAUUUUUUUAUUAAAAUAUUCUUUUCCCUGUUCUACUAUAAUAAUUUGUUUUUUUUUACUCUAUUUCUCUCUUCUUUUAAGAAUGUACUUGUUUGAUUAAAUAAAGCUUCUUAGAGGAACAGUGUGUAUCUAACACAAGGAAGUUUAAGGCAACAACAGGUCUGUGAUGUCCUUAGAUAAACUAGGCUGCACGCGUGCUACAAUGAUAUAUAUAACAAGUUGUUAAAAAUGUACUUAUAAAUAAGUGUGUACAGUUUUUCCUGUACUGAAAAGUAUAGGUAAUCUUUAUCAGUAUAUAUCGUAAUUGGGAUAGAUUAUUGCAAUUAUUAAUCUUGAACGAGGAAUGCCUAGUAAGCAUGAUUCAUUAGAUUGUGCUGACUACGUCCCUGCCCUUUGUACACACCGCCCGUCGCUCCUACCGAUUGAAAGAUAUGAUGAAUUGUUUGGAUAUGAAUUAAAAUAAUGAAAUUUUAUAUUUCUGAUUUUUUCUAGAAGAACUGUAAAUCCUAUCUUUUAAAGGAAGGAGAAGUCGUAACAAGGUUUCCGUAGGUGAACCUGCGGAAG
rnacentral:rRNA from 1 species